AGUUAAUGAACUUGAUUUAAGUGUAUAUUUUGAAAAUAUAAAAUAGGGUAAAAAUCCCUAUUAACUU
rnacentral:tRNA from 1 species